rnacentral:rRNA from 1 species
GACAGAGGGUGCAACCGUUGUUCGGAAUUACUGGGCGUAAAGCGCAUGUAGGCGGCAACGCAAGUCGGGCGUGAAAUCCCACGGCUCAACCGUGGAAGUGCACUCGAAACUGCGUAGCUAGAGUCCUGGAGAGGAAGGUGGAAUGCUUGGUGUAGAGGUGAAAUUCGUAGAUAUCAAGCGGAACACCGGUGGCGAAGGCGGCCAUCUGGCUCGGUACUGACGCUCAGGCGCAAAAGCGUGGGGAGCAAACAGG